CUCCCCGCGGCCCGCGGCCCCGCGCGCCCCCGGCCUCAGCCCACUUGAGGCCUGAGGGCCCCGUCCAGCGCCCGGACGGAGCACGGUAAAAGAAUGUCACCCACAAACGCGCGAAGGCCGCCCCCUCCCGACCCGGGACGUGCACGUGAGGACCCAGCCCCCCACCUGCAGAGCGCGGGCUGACGCUCUCCCCACUGCGCUAGGGGCCCCCCGUGGGACGCUUCUGGGCAUGACAGUCGCCUGAGGACUCUCCUGGGAGCUCCCGGCAGGCCCCAGAGGACUCCCUAGGACACCCCGGAGGAUCCCCCAGAUCCCCCCAGGACGCCCCGGAGGAUCCCCCAGAUCCCCACCCUGACGGUCCCCCCCGAGGACGCCCCGGAGGAUCCCCCAGGUCCCCACCCCGACAGACCCCCCAGGACACCCCGGGGGAUCCAUCCCCCUCUGCUACUCACCCACGUAGGCCACCCUCACUAGUGUCCCCAAAAUCCCCCAGGAUGGACCCCAGGACCUCUGGGCACAGAAGGCUGAUUGGGUGGCCAGUGGAGCGAAAUAAGUCGUAUAGAACCCCGAAUGGUGCCCAUCAGCCGUCUUUUAUCUAAGAAUGCAUAUCUCUCAUUUCUACCCUUACUGCAGUGAGGAGGAGAGGGAGACCAGCUGGCUGCCCAGCCAGACCACCAGCCCUGUGCCACCCUGGGGAUCUGGCUGGUGUUUCCGGCUACCGUUUGCAGUGCUCCAGGGCACACGUGCUCUAGAGGGCCUCGCACACCUGGCAGGAAACUGUCUCUUUUACAAAGAACACUAAGGAGGAAGCAUUCAUACUAAAAGAAGGAAAAAUGGAUGGUUUGUUCUAACAUUCUGAUGAGGCCACAGUAAUGAGCUCUUUGUUGGUGAAAAGGAACCGCAUCUAAGGAAAUCAGUACAGUACAGGAUGGCGCAUUUUUCAGUAGGUCACCUGAAAGGUCACGGGAAGCUGUGUUUCUUGGACUUAAGGAAACUGUAUUUACUACCCAUACCAGUUCUCAGAAUCUGGAUGCCAAAAAUGGCAUCUUACGCCCUGCUCAGAGGAAACAGUUAAGGUGAACGGAAGGAAGGGAGACACUCAAAAGCUGAACAAGAGGCUCACAGUUCAAAAGAAGAGGCCCAGCCGCGUUUCAGCUGUCGCAGCCCUAGACGGUCCCAUAUAAGGGCAGAGGCAGGGCGAGCAGCAAUCCUUCAGAAUUUGUUUAAUUAAACAAGCGAACAGAAAAAAAAACCAGUGGAAGUCAGCCAGUCCAUCAGGUAUUCUCUGAAAUGAUGGGAGCACCCGGGUGAUUCACGACGGCUUUGCUGCCCGAGCGAGUUUGCGAUUUCUGAGUUGCCCACCCGGGAGAGCCUCCCUGGGGGAGGAUGCCUCGGCUCCCACAGCACCUCGGAGCACCCAGGGAGACUCCUAAGACGGCGACCUACGGAGCGUCAACUCCAAAAUCCUCCCGACCGAGUCCUUUCUGAAAAUAGCUCGGGGCUCCUGUUGAGCAAUACUUGUUUGUUUACUUGUUCUAAACAGCAAGGCGAUGACACGGGACUGAUGGGCUCCCAGCCAAUGGCUGCUCAGACAGCCUGGAGGGUGGCCGGUGUCUCCCAACCAGAAAGGAGAGAGGCGGGACUGGCCGGGCAGGCCGCAGGGGCUGGGCAAGUUCUCCGCGUGACUUGCCUUCCAUGUUGAGUGUGGCAAAAAACACUCCGCGGCGUUCUGUGCUGCAGGUUAACGCCUCACGCCUGCUUGGACGGGGCUUAGAAAGAGCGACAGCAUCAUUUCCAGCCAUGUUACAUCAUAGUGCUGGGACGCGGUGUUCUAUUUUCAGCGGUUACACUAUUUCCCCGGCAAUUACGUCAUGUCAUGAAAAAAACGAGCAGGGUGGGAGUUAUCUAACUGACACUGCUUGGCUUUCUAGAAUGUUUGUUCGAUAGUUUAAAAGCACCAUGAGAUUCCACGGGAAAACAUUGAAUAAAUUUAAAGAUGUGUUCUUGCUUUUCUACUUCAUAUGGACUAUUUCAAGAACAGAUGUUUGUUAUUCACUUAAAAAUAAAUCAUACAAUGCUUACAUUAACUGGCUUAAAAUAAUGCAAUAACUGAAAUACUGAUUGACCACUGAAUAUUGUGGGGGCAUAUGGAAUUUUUCAUACACCCAAACACACGCUUGUUUUCAAAAGUUACAUGAACUUGAUUGAUUUUUAUUUGCAUAUGAAUAUAAAUUAAUAAAUUUUACAUGUAAUUUA